UCCCUCCCAGGGUCGCCCCUGGAGAAUUUCCAGUAUUCUACCAGUCUUGACUAUGGGAGGGAGAGUUAAGCAGAGGUAUACUCAUUCUAUUCCUAGCUUGGGCAAGGGCUAGCUAGUGGAAGGCAGUCUACUAAAAGU